GGGUUCAGUGGAAGAAUUCCAAGGCCAAGAACGAAGCGUCAUCCUCAUCUCCACCGUGCGAAGCAGCCAGAGCUUUGUGCAGCUGGAUCUGGACUUUAAUCUGGGUUUCCUUAAGAACCCCAAGAGGUUCAAUGUAGCUGUGACCCGGGCCAAGGCCCUGCUCAUCAUCGUGGGGAACCCCCUUCUCCUGGGCCAUGACCCUGACUGGAAAGUAUUCCUGGAGUUCUGUAAAGAAAACGGAGGGUAUACCGGGUGUCCCUUCCCUGCCAAACUGGACCUGCAACAGGGACAGAAUUUACUGCAAGGUCUGAGCAAGCUCAGCCCCUCUACCUCAGGUAUGGCUGGGCCAGGGUGGGGACAGUGCCAGAGGAGGUGGUAAGGAAGACACAGUGUACUUUCUUUCUUUCCAGGGCCCCAUAGUCAUGACUACCUCCCCCAGGAGCGGGAGGGUGAAGGGGGCCUGUCUCUGCAAGUGGAGCCAGAGUGGAGGAAUGAGCUCUGAAGACACAGCACCCAGCCUUCUCGCACCAGCCAAGCCUUAACUGCCUGCCUGACCCUGAACCAGAACCCAGCUGAACUGCCCCUCCAAGGGACAGGAAGGCUGGGGGAGGGAGUUUACAACCCAAGCCAUUCCACCCCCUCCCCUGCUGGGGAGAAUGACACAUCAAGCUGCUAACAAUUGGGGGAAGGGGAAGGAAGAAAACUCUGAAAACAAAAUCU
rnacentral:sRNA from 1 species